AAAUGUUGAUAUCAGGAAUAUUUAAUAGUUCUUUUAACCUACAGACAGCGAUAGAAAUUUAUUACAUAAGUGAAAUUUCUCUCGUUGACUGUAACAAUUAUAUAAAAUAUGGUCAGAAUAUAUUGUGAAUUUACUAGAAAUACUAUAAACUUGUUAUUACUGCAUAAAUAGCCAGUUUUAUUGGGACACUGCAUCGUUCAUUUACUCGAUUUCCUGAAUUAUCAACGCAGAAAUGACAUAUUACAAAUUUUCUGUCGUUAAUUGCAAAAUAGUAUAAACAGUCUUUAAUUAAUUUCCUUUUCCAUCCUUUCUUUGCCAGACAAUUGAACUAUCUUCUCUAUUGUCCGUUAUUGACCUCCUGCAUGGAUAGUUCCACAAAGGAAGUGAUUACCAGGCGUGCUUAAACAACUUAAUGAAGUCCUUGUUAUGACCUUCACCUCACUUCCGAAGAUAAUUUCCGGCGGUAGUAUAUAUAUAUCUAUAUGCAUAUAUCAUAUUUUAACUGCAGGAUAAUUCACCUGCCAUCGGUUCGUUAUAGGAAAAAAAAUGUCUUAUUGAUCUCCUACGGUGUUUUUAACCACAGCGCCUCAAAUUCUGAUGAGGUCGGCCACCUUCGAUACGUCAUCGAUUCUACUAAAAUUCUCCCAGUCAGGCAUUUUUCUUUUCUGUUUCUUUUAAUUACAGUUAGGUGACUGAUAUAGAGAGCACAUAUUAAAGGUUACGUCUGGAAGUUUUUUGGUAUGCAGUUUGAUAUUUAUAGGUAUUAUAUGAGUCGCUCAGAAAUCAAUGCGGUUAAG
rnacentral:lncRNA from 1 species